GUGCGCUUCAGCAGCACCUAUACUAAAACAGGAACGAUACAGAGAUUAGCGUGGCCCCUGCGCAAGGACGAUGUGGAAAUUCGUAAAGCGUUCCAUAUUUUU